rnacentral:rRNA from 1 species
UGGGGAAUUUUGCACAAUGGGCGCAAGCCUGAUGCAGCCAUGCCGCGUGUGUGAAGAAGGCCUUCGGGUUGUAAAGCACUUUCAGCGGGGAGGAAGGCGGUGAGGUUAAUAACCUCACCGAUUGACGUUACCCGCAGAAGAAGCACCGGCUAACUCCGUGCCAGCAGCCGCGGUAAUACGGAGGGUGCAAGCGUUAAUCGGAAUUACUGGGCGUAAAGCGCACGCAGGCGGUCUGUCAAGUCGGAUGUGAAAUCCCCGGGCUCAACCUGGGAACUGCAUUCGAAACUGGCAGGCUAGAGUCUUGUAGAGGGGGGUAGAAUUCCAGGUGUAGCGGUGAAAUGCGUAGAGAUCUGGAGGAAUACCGGUGGCGAAGGCGGCCCCCUGGACGAAGACUGACGCUCAGGUGCGAAAGCGUGGGGAGCAAACAGG